AGAGUUUGAUCAUGGCUCAGAUUGAACGCUGGCGGAAUGCUUUACACAUGCAAGUCGAACGGCAGCACGGGGCAACCUGGUGGCGAGUGGCGAACGGGUGAGUAAUAUAUCGGAACGUGCCCAAUCGUGGGGAUAACGUAGCGAAAGUUACGCUAAUACCGCAUACGAUCUACGGAUGAAAGCGGGGAUCGCAAGACCUCGCGCGAAUGGAGCGGCCGAUAUCAGAUUAGGUAGUUGGUGGGGUAAAGGCUCACCAAGCCAACGAUCUGUAGCUGGUCUGAGAGGACGACCAGCCACACUGGAACUGAGACACGGUCCAGACUCCUACGGGAGGCAGCAGUGGGGAAUUUUGGACAGUGGGCGCAAGCCUGAUCCAGCCAUUCCGCGUGCAGGAUGAAGGCCUUCGGGUUGUAAACUGCUUUUGUACGGAACGAAACGGUCUGCCCUAAUACGGUGGGCUAAUGACGGUACCGUAAGAAUAAGCACCGGCUAACUACGUG
rnacentral:rRNA from 1 species